GACGAACGCUGGCGGCGUGCCUAAUACAUGCAAGUCGAACGCAGUGGGGACGGGUGAGUAACACGUGGGUAACCUCCCAUCAGAGGGGAUAACACUUGGAAACAGGUGCUAAUCCGAUACUGAUGGAUGGACCCGCGGGGCAUUAGCUAGUUGGUGGGGUAACGGCUCACCAAGGCCACGAGGCGUACCCGACGUGCACGGGUGGUCGGCCACCCGGGGACGGGGACACGGCCCGGACUCCUGCGGUAGGCAGCAGUAGGGAAUGUUCGGCAAUGGACGAAAGUCUUACCGAGCAACGCCGCGUGAGUGAAGAAGGUUUUCGGAUCGUAAAACUCUGUUGUUAGAGAAGCGGUAUCGAACCAGAAAGCCACGGCUAACUACGUGCCAGCAGCCGCGGUAAUAC
rnacentral:rRNA from 1 species